UAAUACGUAGGGUGCGAGCGUUAAUCGGAAUUACUGGGCGUAAAGCGUGCGCAGGCGGUCCGCAAAGUCUGAUGUGAAAGCCCCGGGCUCAACCUGGGAACUGCAUUGGAAACUAACGGGCUCGAGUGUGGCAGAGGGGGGUGGAAUUCCACGUGUAGCAGUGAAAUGCGUAGAGAUGUGGAGGAACACCGAUGGCGAAGGCAGCCCCCUGGGCUAACACUGACGCUCAGGCACGAAAGCGUGGGGAGCAAACAGGAUUAGAUACCCUGGUAGUCCACGCCCUAAACGAUGUCAACUGGGUGUUGGGGAAGCGAUUCCUCAGUACCGUAGCUAACGCGUGAAGUUGACCGCCUGGGGAGUACGGCCGCAAGGUUA
rnacentral:rRNA from 1 species